rnacentral:rRNA from 1 species
AUUGAACGCUGGCGGCAUGCCUUACACAUGCAAGUCGAACGGCAGCGCGGGGCAACCUGGCGGCGAGUGGCGAACGGGUGAGUAACAUAUCGGAACAUACCCUAGAGUGGGGGAUAACGUAGCGAAAGUUACGCUAAUACCGCAUACGAUCUAAGGAUGAAAGUGGGGGAUCUUCGGACCUCAUGCUCAUGGAGUGGCCGAUAUCUGAUUAGCUAGUUGGUGAGGUAAAGGCUCACCAAGGCGACGAUCAGUAGCUGGUUUGAGAGAACGACCAGCCACACUGGAACUGAGACACGGUCCAGACUCCUACGGGAGGCAGCAGUGGGGAAUUUUGGACAAUGGGGGCAACCCUGAUCCAGCAAUGCCGCGUGAGUGAAGAAGGCCUCGGUUGUAAGCUCUUUGUCUAGGAGAACGGUGAGUCUAUACAGCUUGCUAAU